UACGUAGGGUGCAAGCGUUGUCCGGAAUUAUUGGGCGUAAAGAGCUCGUAGGCGGUUUGUUGCGUCGGCUGUGAAAUCCCGAGGCUUAACCCCGGGUCUGCAUUCGAUACGGGCAGGCUAGAGUGUGGUAGGGGAGAUCGGAAUUCCUGGUGUAGCGGUGAAAUGCGCAGAUAUCAGGAGGAACACCGGUGGCGAAGGCGGAUCUCUGGGCCAUUACUGACGCUGAGGAGCGAAAGCGUGGGGAGCGAACAGG
rnacentral:rRNA from 1 species